UACGUAGGUGGCAAGCGUUGUUCGGAAUCACUGGGCGUAAAGCGCGCGUAGGCGGGUUUGUCAGUCAGGGGUGAAAUCCCGGGGCUCAACCUCGGAACUGCCUUUGAUACAGCAAGUCUUGAGUUCGAGAGAGGUGGGUGGAAUUCCUAGUGUAGAGGUGAAAUUCGUAGAUAUUAGGAAGAACACCGGUGGCGAAGGCGGCCCACUGGAGCGAUACUGACGCUGAGGUGCGAAAGCGGGGGGAGCAAACAGG
rnacentral:rRNA from 1 species